GCCACCAUAGCUCAGUUGGUAGAGCAGUCGCCUUGUAAGCGACGGGGCGCGGGUUCGAGUCCUGCUGGUGGCU
rnacentral:tRNA from 1 species